AACGAUCUCUCCCUGCGCCUGGGAAUUCGAUCUGGAUCACGGCGGCGGCGGCGGCGACUCCUGUCUCUCUCUCCGCGCACCGACGCAUCCCUCGGAGCCCUGCCCACCUCCUCCCUUUUCAGCGCCCACAUCGCGACCCCUGUGGCUACUCCACUCUUGAGGCGUCGUGGAGGUUACGGAAACCCGAUGGCGUUGGCUUGCCGGAGAUGAAGAAGACAGCCAGGUGAUGCGGUACUCGGGAGGUGGAAUUGGCAACGGAGGUGGCUCCAUAUGGAUGUCGCGGACCUCCCACUGGAUGGAAUCGAAGUCGGACGAUGUGCUUCGGUCGUCAACGGCGGCUGCGCGGGAUGCAGUAUGGUAUGGAUCGGGCAUCUCGAGGAUGGGCUCUCUUCGCAAGGCCUCCUCCACGCCACAGCGGAGGUGUUUGAGGAGUCUGUCCCGGGGCUGCUCGUGAAGCACGUCGACGUCUCUGUCUUGCCAUUGCUCAAAACACCGUCCUGCCGGCUGGGGUCCUUAUUUGCCAUCGAGGCCUUCCGCAACAGGGUCCAUGAUGCCUGAUUGCUUCCUCUUCGGCUGGAUCGGGUCCAACCACACAAUUAUUGUACUACUGUCUUGAGUGGCAAAUAUUUACUGAGAUGGGAUAAUAGUGCAGGUUGAUGUGUGUAGCACGUGUUAACAAAAUCUCAAUUAUCUGCAUGGUAUAUAUAUCUCUAAUCAUUGUCUUUUCCAGAAUUAAGAGAAGGUAUGAGAAAGAUAAUACUAAUAUUCCCUAUACAUUUGACA